CAGCAGCCGCGGUAAUACGGAGGGUGCAAGCGUUAAUCGGAAUUACUGGGCGUAAAGCGCACCCAGGCGGUCUGACAAGUCAGAUGUGAAAUCCCCGGGCUUAACCUGGGAACUGCAUUUGAAACUGUCAGGCUGGAGUCUUGUAGAGGGGGGUGGAAUUCCAGGUGUAGCGGUGAAAUGCGUAGAGAUCUGGAGGAAUACCGGUGGCGAAGGCGGCCCCCUGGACAAAGACUGACGCUCAGGUGCGAAAGCGUGGGGAGCGAACAGGACUAGAUACCCGCGUAGUCCCUGUCUCUUAUAC
rnacentral:rRNA from 1 species